CGUAUUAAUUGACGUUCGUAAAACUGAAAUUGAAAUCCAAUCUCAGAGGACAUCUACGGCUCUUAAAAGAGCGCGCAUCAGACGACCUGUUAGUCGUAUAUCCUGUCCGGAUCAAAGGAUAGUAAUCUUUACCGGAUCUCGUGGAAAAUCCAUGGGAUUUAUGAAGCAUCUCGCUGACAUUUCUCGAUCCAGCUUUCAAGAAUCUCGAUGUUAAGAAUGUCUAGAAGUGGGAAAUCAUUAAAAAUAGGAAGAUGACCUGACAGUACAAAAUCUGAAGCUCAGCCAGCUCAUUAUAUCACUUUUGGGAGAAAUUCUUAAAUAAAUUAAUUCCAGGCAGUUUUAAAUAUGAAAGCAUUCGUCUGUUGUACUAUUUUUAUCUAUAUUUUGCCAAGCAUUGAGUGAAUCACUUUUAAUAUACCAUUUGAACACGCUAGAAAAUCUGUUCCUUCAAUAAGCAAAGCAAAAGCAUUGCUAGUAGAGUGUGGAUAGAUCUGAAGUCGGCUGCAGUUUUGACAGUACGUUUACCAUUAUGCUCUGGCAUUGUGUAUUCCCAUAUGAGCGUCCCGUCGAGAAGCCGCGUCCUUUUGAUCCACCCUCGCUCUUCAGCUUGUAAAGAAAAAAAAAGAAAGAAAGAACGAGAGCGGAUAGGAUGAGGAGCGUCGGUCCUUUGCGCUGCACCUAACACGCGUUCGAGACACGGUGCUUUAGGAAGGACGAGAGCGAGUAUAUACAGGCGGAAAUAAUAUUUUACCGUCGAGUCAACGACCGAAGAAGCACGCUCUUAUCUCUGCAAGGAAUAUCUCUGAAAUCAGAAGCAGGGGGAUUUCGAUAAAAAGUUUCGCUUGCUUUAUGCGGGCAAUCGAGAAACA